UAUUUAAAAAUUAGCCAAAACCGGUUUGGCUCAGUGGAUAGAGCGUCGGCCUGCGGACUGAAAGGUCCCGGGUUCGAUUCCGGUCAGGGGCAUGUACCUGGGUUGCGGGCACAUCCCCAGUGGGAGAUGUGCAGGAGGCAGCUGAUCGAUGUUUCUCUCUCAUCGAUGUUUCUAACUCUCUAUCUCUCUCCCUUCCUCUCUGUAAAAAAUCAAUAAAAUAUAUUAAAAAAAAUAAAAUAAAAAUUGAUGUUUUUAUUUAAUAUGAAUUAUGAAAAAGAUAAAUCUUACAAAAAAACGCAGGAAAAUGACAGCUUGUCAUUUUGUUGUAAUUAGCACAUAAAAUAAAGCUCACCUUACUAAUAAAGUAGCAGUAAAUUAUAUUUUUGCCUAUGAGAUUAUAAUACAGAUAUUUAUGGUACUGAAUUUAAAACAACUAUAAAUAGGAAAUUUACUAAUUACAAUUUAGCACUAGUUGUAAUGAAAUAUUUUAAGCUCAGGGAUGUAUUUUAAGAUUGUAUAAACAAUUUUAAAAAUAUUUGCCUGCCUGUUCUUUAUUUAUGAGGAAGACUAUGAAAGAGCUUUCUACUUAGAAUGCAAGUAACCACAGGAUGAAUAUGACUAUUUUGACUUCUGGAAAGUUUUCAUUGUUAAUUAAAAGUGAAAUUUGAGCUCUAGCUGGUUCGCUCAGUGGAUAGAGUGUUGGCUGGUGGACCGAAAGGCCUGUACCUUGGUUGCAGGCUCUUCCCUGGCCCGGGCCUUAGUCAGGGCAUGUGGAUGAGGCAACUAAUCAAUGUGUUUCUCUCAUAUUGAUAUUUUAGUUUCUUGGUCGAGUUGAAGGUGAGUUAAACACACUUUAUAAGUAAAUGCUAUUAUAGAUAAAUUAGAGGCCCGGUGCAUGGAUUUGUGCACCGGGCCUCUCACAAUCUGGGACUUCUGUCUCCUAACUGCUCACCUGCCUGCCUGCCUGAUUGCCCCUAACGGCUUCUGCCUGCCAACCUGAUCAUACCCUAACCGCUCCUCUGCCAGCCUGAUGGAUGCCUGCCUGCUCCCUUGCCAGCCUGAUCACCCCCAACUGCCCUCUCUUGCUGGCCCGAUCGCCACGACUGCCCUCCCCUGCCUGCCCGAUCACCCACAACUGCCCUCUCCUGCCGGCCCGAUGAAAAUCAGUUUUUUCCUGAUUGUUAAGUUUGCCCUAGAGAAUUCAUUGCAGUUGUCCUAAAUAGUGUGGGUGACUUAAGAAAAUUAACAUCAGCUAAGAUCAGUUUCUGUCUUCUUUCUGGCUUCCUAUAGAUGCCCUGGAAUGUCACUUGGGGUGGGUUUUUGUUUUUAGUUUUUAAUCUAUAUCCUCUUCAUUUCAUCUGGCUUCUUGCCUCUCAUAGGAGAAACAGAAAAGUGAUACCUUUGUUUUAUUAUUUUAAUUUAAUUUUUUUCCAUCCCCAUUUAUCCCCUCUAUGCCCUCUUCUGCCUCCACCCUCCACCCCUCCUUCAUCUCCCACAAUCACCACACUAUCUCUUUUGGCAGAACCCUUUGACUUAUUGAUAACCAGGAUAAGGGAAUAAACACAUACGUAUGGUUGUUCUUCCUUCUGUCAGAUUCUCUCUUUUUGUUGUUUACUUUUGCUUAUUUAAUUCAAUUUUAGCUUGAUUCUCACAUUAGCUUUCUUGAGAUUUGAACUGUAACUGUUGGCAGCUCUCAGGCCUUUUAAAACUUAGUUUCCCCAUGGUUUGGGGCUCCCUUUCUUAUUUAAUUUAAUUCCAGUUGAAAAACCCUGUAAUCUCAUUUUUCUGGCUUGUGUCAGAUAUUGAUUCACUCAUUCCUAUGGCCAAAGGGUCUGGGAGCUUUGUUUGGCCACUCCCACUAGAAACAAAUAGUUGAGUAUGAUGUUGGGAUGGGUAGUAUUUUUCAAAAAAAGUAUUUAAAGUAUGGCUUGUUCUCGAGAUUCUAAAGAACAUUGUAUUCUUUUCCUUUCAUAUUCUGGAGUUUGACGAGCAAUUUUAAAGGAAGAAAAUGGACAGCUACCAUUUAUGUACUCUAAGAUGGAGAAUCUUUUGCACAUACAAUACCUCUCCUCUGUCUUGUAAACUUGACUAUGGGUUUUACUGUAUUUUACGGAUCCGGCAAAUGAGACCAAAGGGAAAAAAAAAGAGAGAGAGACUUGUUUAAGAGAGAGUUGGCAAUCAAACCCAGGUCUGACUGAUACAAUACUAUGCUCUGUGUGCAAAACUAUGUCCCAAGUUUCCUAUUGUGCAAUUAAAUUCAGAAUUUUCCCCUGAAAUGUCAAUCACAGUUGUUUCUGAUAAAUAAAUGAGAACACUAAGUAGGUUGAAGUGUAUAUAAAACUAUAUACUACUAGAGUGUCAAGCAUAACAAUUUCUCUAUUGUGAGGGAUUCCUCCUGUAGCAUAUCUUGGCAGACAUGCAUGAUGAUGCUACUGUAUUUAACUUAACCGUAAGCAACAACAUGUUUAGGAUGUAAUGUUGAAGAACCCCUGGAUUUAAGUGUUGGCAGAAGGGUAAGCAAGGUAAAAUAUUGCAGGCAGCAGACCUUCCAUUAGUGUUAUUUUAGGAAUGUGGUCCUGAAUUCUGCCAAGCAAAUCUUUUCUGAAACAUUGGCAGAAUCUUUGCAAGAUAUGAUCUCUGACCUAUUUUGCUUGUCUGCUCUGAUGUUUUUGAAGUAUGGUAUAAGAAACUCAUCGGGGUUGAAACUGAUUUAGAUUAGGAAAUUAGCCAGCUCUAGCUCUAGCGCAUCGCAUGAUAUUAAAAAGAAAUUCAAAUUUUAAGCAAACUUUUAAAGCUUAUAAGAAACCUAUAAAAAUGAUUAAAUUGAUGUAUCUUAAAAAUCUAUAGAAGAAAUACAAGUAAAACCUUUUGCAGGUAUUUGCUGAUAUAUUACUUUUUUCAAUAUUAAUUAAUUAAUGGAAGCUUGCAGGAAAGGAAUGUUUUCCCAGUUAAUUUUGGUGACUGUGUUUGUGGUGUUUCUAUGUUUUAAAGUAAUAUGGCAAUUUUACUCCUCUAAUAAUAAGGCUAAAAUUAUUUUGACAAACCAUCUCAAUACUUAAGAGUAAUUAGAUAGUUUAUGGACAAAAGAUUCUAUCCGUGAUUUCAAAAUGAAGCUGUAAAAUGGUCACUUUAUAUAAAAUGCACCUUAUAGCCAGCUGUGUGUUACAUAAAUAAACUUGACAGGAAUGCACAUUCCCUGGAGCAGGAGACUACAACCACGCAGACACAAAGGAAAAUCAGUGCUAGGCUAUAAAUACAGUUUGUAUUUGGCUUUGUAGCUGUUAGAUUUGGUCUUGGCAAAGUAUAUUUAUAGUGUUCAAGUAGCUUAUUUCCUUAAUAGUCAAGUAUAAAAUGACAGUAUUUGGGUCUUUGUAUGCUGUUAUUUUGAGACCUUGUAUUUUUGCUGAGGCUCCAUGAAUGUUUGUUUUCAUGUUAUUGACAAAAUAAUUUUUAAAAAUAUGUUUUUAUUGAUUUUUAGAGAGGGGGGGGAGAAUCACCAACGUGAGAGAGAAACAUUGAUCGGUUGCCUUCUGCAGGCACCCCAAAUAGGGGUCAAAUACUCAUCCUGACCAGGAAUCGAACAGGGGACUUUUCCAUGCACUGGGCGGUGUUCAACCAACUGAGUCACAUUGUCCAGGGCAGCAAAGUAUUUUCAGACAUUAUUUUAGACUACAUUAAAUUUUUUAGUAUUGCUUUUUAAACUCUUAUUGAGAAAAGUUUUAGACUUAAUAAUACUCCUAGCCCCUGUGAUUUUGAAGCAUAUCCCAAACAUCACAAUCAUUUAUCUAUAAAUAUUUCAGCAUCUCUAAAUAUUUCUGUCUCUUAAAAAUAGGGGUAAAAGCCACAUUACCAUUAUCACACUUUAAAAUAAUUAACAGUAUUUUAAUAUUAUUAAUAUUAUCUUAAUAUCUGGUCAGUAUUCAAUUUUCACUUGUGGCCUGGCUGGUGUGGCUCAGUGGUUAAGCGCCAACCUAUGAACCCCAGGAGGUUGAAGUUCGAUUCCCGGUCAGGACAGACACAUGCCUGGGUUGUGGACUUCAUCCCUAGUAGGCGUCGUGCAGGGGGCAGCCAAUCGAUGAUUUUCUCUCAUCCUUGAUGUUUCUAUCUUGCCCUCUCCCUUCCUCAGAAAUCAAUAAAAUAUAUAUCUUUAAAAAAACAAAAACAUUUUAACUUGUGUCAUACAUUUUUAAAAAAUUGAAUUCAGUUCUCUCUUUUUGUUCCCCUUGCAAGUGUAUUUAUUGAAGAUUCCAGUCCUAGCUCUUUAGAAUUUCCCACAAUGUAUAUUUUGCUAAUUGUAUCGCAGAGUUGUCUUUAAACAUAUUUUUCUGUCUGUAUUUUCUGUAAAUUGGUAAGUGUAUCUAGGGGCUUAAACAGGUUCAGGUUUGUGAGUCAGGUAAGAUCACCUUAUAAGUGGUGGUUUGUUUAUCAGGAGAGAAUGUCAGGUUGUCUUUCUUUUUAAAAUGUCUAGAUUAAAAUGACAAAAUGGCAAUGUUGUACAUAUUUUUCAUUUUUAACCGGAUUAUUUCUAAAGAGAGAUACCUCAUGGUAGUUAUUAUAUGAUUACUUAGAAAUAUAAUUUGUAUAGAAAAAGAAAUUUUUUAUUCUUAAUGUGUUUUUUUAAAUUGGUUUUCAAAAUAACAAAAUGGUUUAGUAGCAUCCCAUAAUAGUGACCAAUUAGUUUGUUGUUUUUUUAUAUCACUGUUUAUAAAUCCAUUAAUAUAUUAAUUCAUUGUGGUUAUUAACUAUUGAUACUUAAGCUUUCCCAUAUUUGGCUAGUGGAGCCUCUUCAAGUUGGCUGAAUUCUUUUAUCAAGACCAUGGUAUUGCCCUGACCAGUUUGGCUCAGGGGAUAGAGUGUCAGCCUGCGGACUCAAGGGUCCCACGUUUGAUUCCGGUCAAGGGCAUGUACCUUGGUUGCGGGCACAUCCCCAGUAGGGGGUGUGCAGGAGGCAGCUGAUCUAUGUUUCUCUCUCAUCGAUGUUUCUAAUUCUCUCUUCCUUCCUCUCUGUAAAAAAAUCAAAAAAAUAUAUUGAAAAAAAAAGACCAUUGUAUUAUUUGAUGGCUUGCUUUUUUAUCUGAUGUGUAAGAGAUAAGCUUAGAGCAUUUCCUGUCCCGGAUCUGGAAUCAGCCAUUUCUCUGAAGAGCCCUCAUCUCUUUGAGAGUUAAUCAUGUUUGGAGACCAUACUCAUUGCUAAAUGGUUGGUAAUUUUUUUUCUACACUUUUUUAGUGGACAGAGUUCAUAAUUUUUAUAUUUAUUUUAAAAUAUAUUUUUAUUGAUUUCAGAGAGGAAGUGGGGGGAGAGAGACAAACAUCAGUGAGAGAGAAUCAUUGAUUGGCUGACUCUUGCACGCCCCCUACUGGGGACCAAGCCCACAACCUGGGCAUGUGCCCUUGACUGGAAUUGAACCCCGGACCCUUCAUUCCGCAGGCCCACGCUUUAUCCAAUGGGCCAAACCAGCCACGGUGAGAUUAGAAUUUUUAAAUCUGUGUCAUCAAUUUGUACUGAUACUUCCAGUUCAAAUUCAGGAUUAUAGAGUUUUUUCCUAUUCAUAUAUGUUCUCCUCACUCUCUUUUAGUCUUAACCUUGAAUAAUAACUCUAUCGUAGCAAGUCAGUCAUGCAUUAUAUUUCAUUACUUAUACCUAUUCAAAUCAUUCUUCUCAAGGACAUUUCCUGUGCUUGGUUUCCUUUUUUUUUCAUGGUUUGUAGAGCACUCUGGCCCACAGUAUUUCUAGAUUCACAGAAUGCAUAUAUAACUCAUUUAACAAUCCUGUGACACUCCAUGAUUUACUGAGUUUUAAGAAGUAUAACAGCCCUAGCCGGUUUGGCUCAGUGGAUAGAGUGUUGGCCUUCAGUCUGAAGGGUCCAGGGUUUGAUUCCUGUCAAAGGCACAUGUCUCAGUUGCAGGCUCAAUCUCCCUCCCUGUUUGGGAGACAACAAAUCAAUGUGUCUCUUUCAUAUCUAUGUUUCUCUCUCUCUGUCUUUCUGCCUCCCUUCCACUUUCUCUAAAAAUCAAUAGAGAAAUAUCCUCUGGUGAGGAUUAACAACAACAACAAAAUAUGUACAGCAUGGCAUUACCAGCACCCAAGAAGUCCUUUUUAUUCCUCCUUUGAGAUACUAUUCUCAUUCCCCUUUCCAAAAGAAAAGAGAAAAAAAGAUUUUGAAUAAUGUUGAUUAGUUUUGCCUGAUUUAGAACUUUACAGUUUUGUUUAUCAUUCAUGAUUUGUGGGAAACAGAGCCCUUUGUAGGUCUUUCCAACUCUUAAUUGUGCGUCCAGUUAGCAUUCACAAAAGAUGUUAUCUUCAUCUUUGUCACCUUUAAAACUUCUCGGCAAUACCUUAGGAAAUACAAGUAGAAAACCAAGCAUAGGCACUUCUUGGUUCAAAUAUUUGCCUUAAGCAGGCUAGGUUUUUGUGUUUAUAAGCUAUUUCCAUUUUCUCCCCAAGUGUUUGUACCCUUUGCACGUUUUCUCUUCUUUUGAUUUACAAGAACUUUAUUUGCAUUAGGGAUAUUAGACUUUUACCAACUGUGUUGUAAAUGUUCUCCCCAUCCUGUCACUUGCCUUUAAAUUUUACUGCUGUAUUGAAUUUAAAAUAUUUUGUGUAACCUGACUUGAGUUCUGUGCUCUGCUUUGGAAGGCCGCCUUUACCCAAAAUUAUGUAAAAAAAAAAAAGUCCUGUAUUUUAGUUAAGUUUUAUUUUUUUAUAUAUGUGUAAUCCAUUGGGAUUUGAAUGUAGUGUGAGGUAUCAACAUUUAAAAGCAGAUAGGAUAUUUAAACAUCCUUUUUGGCCUUUUCCAUAAAAACCUGCUUGAAUUUCAUCUACAUUUGGCUACUACACUUUUCCACCCACAAACUUCUAGAAAAAGUUUCUACUCAUAUUUUUCUACUGUGCCUUCUUUUAGUCAACUCAGUGUUGCCUUUAUGGUCUCUGCUUCAUCAUUACACUGAAACUAUUUAGGCAUAGGCCAGCCUUUGAUCUUCUGUUUAUUGAGCCCAAAGGACUGAAUUUAGACUCCUCCUUCCUGAGCAGUAUGUAUUUAUCAUUGUUGGUAACUUUCUCCUUGAAAUGCAUCUUCUUUGAUACAGUUUUUUCCUGGUCACUUUAGUAGCCUCUUCUUUUUUAUCUCCCAGAUAGUGGUAUUCUCUAGAAUUCUUUCAGUUAGAUCCUUUAUGGUUUACUAGUAGCCCUGCGCACGAAUCCAUGCAGCAGUAAGUUGCUGCCAUCCUCCUAUAGCUCUCCGCCCACUGCCCUGCUCUCCUGUAGCUCCCCCCCUCCCCUCAUUGCUUGUUGCCCUGCCCUCUCCUGUAGCUCUCUGCCACCUUUUUGUAGCCAGUAGGUCGCUGCUCUCCAUCCUCCUGCUGCCCCGCCCUCCUGUAGCUCCCCCCUCCCCCCCUCAUAGCUUGCUGCCCUGCCCCCUUCUGUAGCUCUCCGCAGCCUGCUUGUAUCUUGCUGGCCCACCCUCCUGCUAAUCCGUGGCGAUCUGGUAGUGAUGCCCUUGGUCUUUACGCCUCAGGACAUAAUGGCUAAUUAGCAUAUCCCUCUCUUAUUAUAUAGGAUACUUAAUGUGCAUCCUUUGGUGAUGUUUUCAAUCUUAUGACUUCAGUUGUCAACAAUGUUUUGAUAUAACCCCCAAAUCUCUAUCUCAAACUCAGACUUUAUAUAUAUUGAUUUCAGAGAAGAAGGGAGAGGGAGAGAUAGAAACAUCAAUGAUGAAAGAGGAUCAUUGAUGGCUGCCUCCUGCAUGUCACCAGGGGGAUUGAGCCCGCAACCCAGGCAUGUGCCCUUGAUUGGAAUCGAACCUGUGAUGCUCUUCAGUCCCCAGGCCGAAGCUCUGUCCACUGAGCCAAACGGGCUAGGGCUAACUCAGACUUUUUAAAAAAGAAAUUUAUAUUUGUACUUACGCCCCAUGGGCAUUUAAAA